rnacentral:rRNA from 1 species
UACGUAGGGUGCGAGCGUUGUCCGGAAUUACUGGGCGUAAAGAGCUCGUAGGUGGUUUGUCGCGUUGUUCGUGAAAUCUCACGGCUUAACUGUGAGCGUGCGAGCGAUACGGGCAGACUUGAGUACUGCAGGGGAGACUGGAAUUCCUGGUGUAGCGGUGGAAUGCGCAGAUAUCAGGAGGAACACCAAUAGCGAAGGCAGCUCGCUGGGACGGUACUGACGCUGAGGCGCGAAAGCGUGGGGAGCGAACAGG